CACGAACCGUACGAACGUUUAUUCGGAAUUACUGGGCUUAAAGGGUUUGUAGGCGGCCAUGUAAGUCAGGUGUGAAAUCCCUCGGCUCAACCGAGGAACGGCGCUUGAUACUGCAUGGCUUGAGGGAGACAGGGGGUAAGCGGGAACUGAUGGUGGAGCGGUGAAAUGCGUUGAUAUCAUCAGGAACACCGGUGGCGAAGGCGCUCUGCUAGGCCGCAACUGACACUGAGGGACGAAAAGCUAGGGGGAGCGAAUGGG
rnacentral:rRNA from 1 species